UCGCUUCUUCACUCAUCACUCAUCACUCGGCUCCUUUUAAAAUAUCUCUCUGCUUUCUUCUCUCUCUCCUAAGCCUUUCCGCUUUCUGUCUCCUUUCUCCGGCGUCUCUGUUCGUUUACUUUAGGGUUUUGCGAUUUUUAAUUCGUGUACCAAGGAUAAAAACCAGAGCCCAUGGAAAUGGAGAAGAAGCAAGGAUUUUUCUCAGCGCUCAGAGACGAAGUCAUCAGAAGCUUUACCCCUUCUCGCUCCAGGCCACGUUCUCGUUCCGCGAGCCCGUCCCGCUCAAAC
rnacentral:lncRNA from 1 species